rnacentral:rRNA from 1 species
AGAACGAACGCUGGCGGCAUGCCUAAUACAUGCAAGUCGAACGAACACUUCGGUGUUAGUGGCGCACGGGUGCGUAACGCGUGGGAAUCUGCCCUUGGGUUCGGAAUAACAGUUGGAAACGACUGCUAAUACCGGAUGAUGACGAAAGUCCAAAGAUUUAUCGCCCAGGGAUGAGCCCGCGUAGGAUUAGCUAGUUGGUGAGGUAAAGGCUCACCAAGGCGACGAUCCUUAGCUGGUCUGAGAGGAUGAUCAGCCACACUGGGGACUGAGACACGGCCCAGACCUCCGUACGGGAGGCAGCAGUAGGGAAUAG